CAAAUGAAAAAUCAAAACUUUUGAUCUCCCUCCUCCCGGCUCCCUCCCUCUUUAACCUACCUAGGCUCAAAAAGAGGGUUUUUUUUGUUACUGCAGGGGAGACAAUUGUUACAGAAUCUAAACCAGGGUGUGCGGUGGCUACGAUAGGAAUAUGGGGACUCAUCGGUCGCAGUGGUUGUUGUGGUACUAGCGCGCGUGCGACGGGAUAGUUGAACCAGGAAGAGGUAAGGCUAAAAUCUCUGAUAUGGAUCUAAGUUACAAAAGUUUUCUUCAUGAAUGGAAAAUAGACACAAAAGUAAAAGGCAUUCUGGUUGAUGGGACGUUGAUCAUUUCCUUUUAGUAAGGUAUCAAGAACUAAACCAUCUGGUCCUAAUUUGGUUGAGUAAUGGCACUUAAGAUAGUGACUGCAUGUCAUCAUGGUGUGGUUUUCAUAUGGGAGAUAGGUGUUAGACUUAUGUUGAGCCAAGAGAAUCAUUGGAUGAUAUUGGUAGCUAAAUCGUAUUAGCUAACUUCAAGUGAUACCGAAGAUCAUCAGAGUCAGGUUAUAACAAUCGAGGAGGAGGAACUGAAACCGAACAAGAAGAAACUAAGACAACACAAAGAGCAAUAUUAGCAAUAGUUGCGUUGAUGACCUGACAUAGGAUGUUAGUUAAAACUUAUUCCCUACAUAUUAUUAGUUGAUUUAUCUAAUAUUGUUUUAUAUUUUAGAAUUGAUCAACCAAGUUAAUUAAUUUGUAUGUUUAAUUGUCAAUUGUUUUAAACUUUAUAAUUAAUGUGUUAUGAUAUUCUUGGUUGGAUACA